AUGGCAUCGCCGGCCGCGCGCGCGGCCUCGGCGCUCCUCCUCCUGCUCGCCCUCGCCGUCGCCGGCGUCCUCUCCGACGGCUCCGACCACCGCUACAAGCUCGGCGACCCCGUCCCGCUCUACGCCAACAAGGUCGGCCCCUUCCACAACCCCAGCGAGACGUACCGCUACUUCGACCUCCCUUUCUGCUCCCCGGAGAAAGUGAAGGAGAAGAGCGAGGCCCUCGGCGAGGUCCUCAAUGGGGAUCGGUUGGUUGAUGCGCCCUACAAGCUUGAUUUCCGCACCGAUCACGAUUCCAAGGCCGUUUGCCCCAAGAAGCUUACCAAGGAGGACGUGGCCAAGUUCCGGAACGCGGUAGCCAAGGACUACUACUUCCAGAUGUACUACGAUGAUCUCCCGCUGUGGGGUUUCAUCGGUAAGGUCGAGAAGGGAGGCAAGCCUGACCCGAGCGAGUGGAAGUACUACCUCUACAGGCACAUUAUCUUUGACAUCCUCUACAACAACGACCGUGUCAUUGAGAUCAAUGUGCAUACCGACCAGAGUGCACUGGUUGACCUGACGGAGGACAAGGAGGUUAAUGUGGAUUUCCUUUACACUGUCAAGUGGAAGGAGACACCUACACCAUUCGAGAAGAGGAUGGAGAAGUAUUCCAGCUCCUCCAACAUGCCGCAUCACUUGGAGGUUCAUUGGUUCUCCAUUAUAAAUUCUUGUGUUACGGUCCUUCUCCUCACAGGGUUCUUGGCAACAAUCCUCAUGCGAGUUCUGAAGAAUGAUUUUGUUAAGUAUGCCCAUGAUGAGGAAGCAGCUGAUGACCAAGAAGAGUCUGGAUGGAAGUAUAUUCACGGUGAUGUCUUUCGGUUCCCCAAGAACAAGUCAUUGUUUUCGGCUGCUCUUGGCACUGGAACUCAACUGUUUGCUCUAACAACCUUUAUAUUCCUGCUUGCACUCGUUGGAGUAUUCUACCCUUACAAUCGUGGUGCCCUUUUCACCGCAUUGGUCGUCAUCUAUGCACUCACCUCAGGAAUUGCUGGUUACAUUGCAACCUCUUUCUAUUGCCAGCUAGAGGGAACGAACUGGGUGAGGAACUUGCUACUGACAGGAUGCCUGUUUUGUGGACCUCUCUUCCUGACAUUCUGUUUCUUGAACACUGUUGCCAUUGCUUAUAGUGCAACAGCAGCAUUGCCGUUCGGCACCAUCUGUGUCAUUGUGCUGAUCUGGACCUUAGUCACAUUCCCUCUACUAGUUUUGGGAGGCAUUGCUGGUAAAAACAGCAAGAGUGAAUUCCAGGCUCCUUGCCGUACCACCAAAUACCCUAGGGAGAUUCCUCCACUUCCCUGGUACCGGACAACAGUUCCGCAGAUGGCUAUGGCUGGAUUUUUGCCUUUCAGCGCUAUAUAUAUCGAGCUCUACUACAUCUUUGCUAGUGUUUGGGGCCACCGAAUUUACACGAUCUACAGCAUUCUCUUCAUAGUCUUCAUCAUCCUGCUUAUUGUCACUGCCUUCAUCACUGUUGCGCUGACAUACUUCCAGCUUGCUGCUGAAGACCAUGAGUGGUGGUGGAGGUCAUUCCUAUGCGGAGGAUCAACUGGAUUUUUCGUCUAUGGCUACUGUCUGUACUACUACUAUGCCCGAUCGGAUAUGUCUGGGUUCAUGCAGACCUCUUUCUUCUUUGGGUACAUGGCGUGCAUCUGCUAUGCAUUCUUCCUGAUGCUGGGUAUGGUGGGCUUCCGUGCCGCCCUGUUCUUUGUUCGGCACAUAUACAAGUCGAUCAAGUGUGAGUAA
rnacentral:rRNA from 1 species